UCCUCUGGCUUUGACAACAGCUCGGCAUAUACCAGACAUUCGUUCCACAAGUUUUCUAAGGUCUGUUCCAGGGAUUGCAUUCCAAGUGUAGUGGCUAAGCCCCAGCUUGAAGCCACUGAGGGGCUGCAGGACAGGCUAAACUUAACAACGCGCUGAGUACACUUACUGGCACGUCCAAUUAAUUCAAGUCCACUCCUUGUUCGCUUAAUGUGAUCUUUUAUUUCUCACAUUUUGUAGAAAUAUCAAGUCAACACCACAGCAAUGCAUCUUGAACGGAGAUAGCGGUACCAAAAGCAUAUCUUCUAGCGGUUGAAAAACUGUGCGCUCUUCCGUCCGGCAACACCUGCCCAGUGACCCAAAGUUCCCACCUUUAUGACAAAAAGAAAACACACCCACCACCCGCUGGCAUAAACUGGUAUUGCAGUGAGACAAAAAUGGCUCCUACACUAAGCUUUCUUAAGUUCAUUAAAAAGAGACUGCUGAUUCGUGGGACGCGUUUUUCUGACCGAUCGAUCCAAUUCAUCCCGCACAAGCUCAAUUGGAGAAAGGUCUGGAGACUGAGGGGGCCAAACCAUCUUUUGAAGAACACCUUCCUCUUCUUUUUUGUCUCGGUAACCCUGACAGAGCUCGGCAGAGUGCUUAGGGUCAU